rnacentral:rRNA from 1 species
UGGUGCAUGGUUGUCGUCAGCUCGUGUCGUGAGAUGUUGGUUAAGUCCCGCAACGAGCGCAACCCUCGAACCCUUAGUUGCCAGCAUUCAGGUUGGCACUCUAAGGUGACUGCCCGGCUAAAAGUACCGGGAGGAAGGUGGGGAUGACGUCAAGUCCUCAUGGCCCUUAUAGGUGGGGCUACACACGUCAUACAAUGGCCGGUACAAAGGGUCGCAAACCCGCGAGGGGGAGCCAAUCCAUCAAAGCCGGUCGUAGUCCGGAUCGCAGUCUGCAACUCGACUGCGUGAAGUCGGAAUCGCUAGUAAUCGUGGAUCAGCAUGUCACGGUGAAUACGUUCCCGGGUCUU